rnacentral:rRNA from 1 species
UUAGAAGAUGGCGACCGGCGGCACGGGUGAGUAACACGUAUCCAACCUGCCGAUAACUCCGGAAUAGCCUUUCGAAAGAAAGAUUAAUACCGGAUGGCAUACGAAUAUCGCAUGAUAUUUUUAUUAAAGAAUUUCGGUUAUCGAUGGGGAUGCGUUCCAUUAGUUUGUUGGCGGGGUAACGGCCCACCAAGACUACGAUGGAUAGGGGUUCUGAGAGGAAGGUCCCCCACAUUGGAACUGAGACACGGUCCAA